rnacentral:rRNA from 1 species
GACGAACGCUGGCGGCGUGCUUAACACAUGCAAGUCGAACGGCAAGGCCCUGCUUUUGUGGGGUGCUCGAGUGGCGAAGGGGUGAGUAACACGUGAGUAACCUGCCCUUGACUUUGGGGUAACUUCAGGAAACUGGGGCUAAUACCGGAUAGGAGCUCCUGCUGCAGGGGGGGGGUUGGAAAGUUUCGGCGGUUGGGGAUGGACUCGCGGCUUAUCAGCUUGUUGGUGGGGUAGUGGCUUACCAAGGCUUUGACGGGUAGCCGGCCUGAGAGGGUGACCGGCCACAUUGGGACUGCGGUACGGCGCAGACUGCUACGGGAGGCAGCAGUGGGGAAUAUUGCACAAUGGGCGGAAGCCUGAUGCAGCAACGCCGCGUGCGGGAUGACGGCCUUCGGGUUGUAAACCGCUUUCGCCUGUGACGAAGCGUGAGUGACGGUAAUGGGUAAAGAAGCACCGGCUAACUACGUG